UGUCUGUCACCCACCCUUGGGGCAGGUGCAAA
rnacentral:piRNA from 1 species